GGUUCUCGCCCGGAAAAGGGUGGAGUGCCAUCUCCGGGUUGGGGAGGAGACCCUGCCCCAAGUGGAGGAGUUCAAGUACCUAGGAGUCUUGUUCACGAGUGGGGGAAGAGUGGAUCGUGAGAUCGACAGGCGGAUCGGUGCGGCGUCUUCAGUAAUGCGGACGUUGUACCGAUCCGUUGUGGUGAAGAAGGAGCUGAGCCGGAAGGCAAAGCUCUCAAUUUACCGGUCGAUCUACGUUCCCAUCCUCACCUAUGGUCAUGAGCUUUGGGUCAUGACCGAAAGGAUAAGAUCACGGGUACAAGCAGCCGAAAUGAGUUUCCUCCGCCGGGUGGCGGGGCUCUCCCUUAGAGAUAGGGUGAGAAGCUCUGCCAUCCGGGAGGAACUCAAAGUAAAGCCGCUGCUCCUCCACAUGGAGAGGAGCCAGAUGAGGUGGUUCGGGCAUCUGGUCAGGAUGCCACCCGAACGCCUCCCUAGGGAGGUGUUUAGGGCACGUCCAGCUGGUAGGAGGCCACGGGGAAGACCCAGGACACGUUGGGAAGACUAUGUCUCCCGGCUGGCCUGGGAACGACUCGGGAUCCCCCGGGAAGAGCUAGACGAAGUGGCUGGGGAGAGGGAAGUCUGGGCUUCCCUGCUUAGGCUGCUGCCCCCGCGACCCGACCUCGGAUAAGCGGAGGAUGAUGGAUGGAUGAUGGAUGGAUGGAUGAUUCAGUAUUUUACUGUAUUGGGCUUUUUGCUAUUAUGUUGACUAAAAUACAAUGCCGCACAAUAAUUAAUUUAAAUCUGCCUGAAAUGUAGGUUUUUGCAUAAAUGCCCCCACCCCCUCCAAAAAAAACCAAAAGAAACAACCCUCAACCUUGAUUGAGACUAAGGCAAUAAUUCAAAUGCAAUUCAAACUACAUCCAGUAUUUAAUAUUUUGAAAUGGUUACAAUAGCACAUGAUUUAGGUAUUUUUAUCUUUGGGACCAAUUUUGGAUUCAAUUGGCGAUUGUUUUUGGAGGUAUUCUCUUUACAUAGUGUUCAAGAUGGUUACUUCCGCCCACUCUGAAGAGUCUCGGCGUCUGAUUGGUCCAAUUUUCAGUUAGGCGCUGCCUGAUUGGCCAGUGGAUGAUGUCGGAUCCUAACAGAGGGCUAAAUCACUAGUUAACUAUUUUCAUCUUGGAAGUUAUACAGCUCACGUAUCACACUUAAUAUUGAAUAUAUAUAUAAAGGGUUUUCCAAAAGGACCAUUUAUAAUCGAAAUACAAAACUUCACACACGAUUUUGAGCACAACAGAGCGCUCAGUGAACAGCACUUCCGGGACCUGCAGCACCAGAGGGAGACAUCUAUCUUGGCCACAAACCAUCUUUGACAGUCUUCGGCAGCAUGGUUGAAUCAGGUGAGCAUAAAAUGGAGUUUAACGUAAUUAAAUAGACCAAUGUUUUUUAACAUAGGAAAAUAGUUCAUUAUAAACAACAGUUAAAUGUUUUUUGUUAUUAAUUGCAAUCAGAUUUGAUUUUAUGAGGUUAAAUAAAGCAUUUCAGUUCUGGGCCAAGGCCAAGGCAUUUAAUUUUUUUUUUUUUUAAGUUGCAUGAAAGAUUAUAAGUAGCAGUGAUUGUCACACACAAGGUGUGGUGAAAUUAUUCUCUGCAUUUGACCCAUCACCCUUGAUCACUAUGCAAGUAAACCUUUUCUUAAUUUUAAACAAGACAGACUAGAGUUCUUCAAAUUGUUUAUACUUUUUCUCAAAUACAAAUAUUUCAAGCUGAUAAGCACUAUGGAGUUGGCAUGUUACUGAUAUUGUUACAUUAGUUCUUUGUUUGAGAAGCUUCAUGGCUGCAUUGAGCCUAAAUUUAACAGUUUUUGAAGGGUUUAGUUCUUUGUUUUAUUUCUGUGUCACUGACUUUUUUCAUUUUUAUGUGUGGAUUUGUUAGGUGCAUCAACACAUGAUGUAGACAUCGUAUCCAAAAGAAGAGCGAGACGUAAUCCUGAGGCUGAAGCCACCGAGUUUAUGUGAUCUGGAUGUGACAAGUCUUGUUUUAAGGCCCAGUGGAUCAAUGAUUGGAAAGACACCAACUGUUGAUGUUCUAUCUCAACAUUCUCCAGAUUCAUGUGAGCGAUAAACCGACUUCAUCCCUCCAACAGACACCAACUGUUGGGGUUCUAUCUCAACAUUCUCCAGAUUCAGAUGUGAGCGAUAAACCGACUUCAUCCCUCCAACAGAAACCAACUGUUGAGGUUCCAUCUCAACAUUCUCCAGAUUCAGAUGUGAGCCAUUAACUGACUUCAUCCCUCCAACAGAAACCAACUGUUGAGGUUCUAUCUCAACAUUCUCUAGAUUCAGAUGACAGCCAUAAACCAACUUCAUCCCUCCAACAGAUUGACAGCAGGACAAAUCGCUGGAAGUGGGUAUGUCUCAAGCUUCUUCCACUUGGUCCACUCCAAAGCGGGGUGCAAAGUGGAAGAAGUGGAAGCAGUUGAAUGACACAUGUUGCAUUUUGUAACUGGCAACAAAGUACCAGGUAAAAAAGAUUGUGAAGCCUGCCUCCAUAAAGAACUAGUAGCUCUACAGGACAGAGAUUGGCUUGCCAUCAAGUACUACAUCCAUAACAGAAUUAUAUUAAAAAAAGGGAAAAAAAAUGUUUUCCCACAUCUUCUGUGGUAGUUUGAGUAUGUUACCAGCAAUUAAAAAAGCAAAAUAAACA